UACCAGCUCUCCGAGUGGUAGUGAUGAUUAUUGGGCUUAAAGCGUCCGUAGCCGGCUUAGCAAGUCUCCUGUUAAAUUCAGCGACCUAAUCGUUGAGCCGCGGGAGAUACUACUAGGCUAGGAGGCGGGAGAGGUCGACGGUACUUUCGGGGUAGGGGUGAAAUCCUAUAAUCCCGGGAGGACCACCAGUGGCGAAGGCUGUCGACUAGAACGCGCUCGACGGUGAGGGACGAAAGCUGGGGGAGCGAACCGGAUUAGAUACCCGGGUAGUCCCAGCUGUAAACGAUGCGGGCUAGGUGUUGGGGUGGCUACGGGCUACUUCAGUGCCGCAGGAAAGCCAUUAAGCCCGCCGCCUGGGGAGUACGGCCGCAAGGCUGAAACUUAAAGGAAUUGGCGGGGGAGCACCACAAGGCGUGAAGCCUGCGGUUC
rnacentral:rRNA from 1 species